AAAAGCCAAGACAAAGUCAAAAGUAAUAGAAACCCUAAACAAAAGCGUAGUAGGAAGGUUUCUUCGAUACAUCGCCAAGUUCAAUCCUGUUAAGGAAAACAAAUCUACAGGGUGAGUAAAACGCUCGUGAGGCCAAGAACACACAUGCAGGCACAUAGCUCAGGUAACAAGCCAAGUAACAAUUCAAGUAAUAAAUUUCAAGUAAUUAAUAAUGCCAACAAAAUGUAACCAAAACAAUUCAAGGAUAUGGUAGCUCUCAGGAGCUAAGUUCCACAUUUUGCCGAUGUCAUUCGUAUAUCUCCCUGCGUUGACUCUCCGUCAACCGGGUUGAUAUUUCAUAUCCGUAGUUCACCACUUACUUCUCAUCCGUCCACCAUAUACCGCUUCGGGCCCGCACGAUAUUUAGAAGGUUAUACUCCACGAGUAUGCCAAGCAAGAUCUCUCAAAUAGAUCAAACUUAUCAUGUAAUUCUCAUGGCUCACCAAGGUUCCCGACCAAGCCCAUGCCGGCUCGAGUUCCAAGGUCGGCCUAUGAGUUUGGGCGUCCCCCAUGUAUCAUGUAAGUGUCGAGGAGAUUCACUCCAACGACAUAUGCAAUCAUAGCAUACCAUGUCAUGUAUUCAAGCAUUUGACAGGUUUAAGCAGGCAUUUCAAGUCAUGUAACCAGGCAAAUCAUAUUAAGCAUGAGUCAUUCGUUUCAAAUGAGAACGAGUGCGAUCAAGUACACACUCGACUCCAUUUUUGUCAAAAUCGAAUAGGCUACGCAUGUAAUCAGGUAAGUCAAGCAUGAAUCAAGUCCUUAGAGUUCAAGUAAUCAUACACUUGACACUCACCAAGUUCUGCAAGCAAGUAGGUUGGAUUGAGAGUUCAAACUUCCACGGUAGGGUCCUCUUGGAGGUCCUCGUGCACGCCUGAACAUCGAAUAGUAGAUAAUUACUAUAGGUCCCUAGGUGGUGAGAAAGUUUGAACAUGAGUAAGGUUCGGAAAUAUUUUGAAAACUUCGUUUGGCUUGUCUUUGAAGUUGGAUUUCCAAAAGGGUGCAGGACUCGAGUAAAAUCGGAUUAUUAUCCUUAAAAUCAUUGGUUGGAAACGAGUACGAGCGAAACAAUUGCUAAACAAACGAUCGAAAUCGGAAGUGGGCUGGCCAUGUCACAAUCCGGCCGGAACCUGGCCAGAUAUCCGGCCGGAUUCUUGGCCGGAUUGGAGGUAGUAGCCAUCCUCAUUUUUUUUUCAAAUUCCAACUACAAUCCGGCCGCCUAUCCGGCCAGAAACUGGCCAGAUUCAAGGCCAGAUUCUAGAAAAAUACUUCCCGCGCGGAUUUCUUUUGAAAUUCCAGAAUUUUCGAUUUUUGGAAAAAUCUUUGAAAAAUCAUAACUUCCUUUCUACUGGUCAAAAAUUGAUAAACUUAGUACCGUUAGAAUCAUCUUUGAAAGUACUAAAAGUUUCUAGAAAACACUAUUCCACGAAUCUAAAUGGAAGGUAUUCAAAAAAUGAGUUUAAAGUUGCUGUCCCAGAUCACCCAGGAUUGAGCCGGGGUUGGUUUUUCGCUAACUUUGGAAAUUCGGCAGAAUUCACUCGUUGCAAACCAACCCUUGAAAUUUAUAGCUCAAUUAGAGGUGCAAGUAAGGUUUAGGGUAGAACAAACAGAUCGAGAAUCGGAGUUUCGAGCACCAAGAUAUGGUAGCUCAAAGUUGGGAAAAAUUCAAGACUGUUACAAAAUUUCCAGAUUUGGUUCCGACUUUGGACCUUUUGUUAAGUCUCGAAACGGACUUCAAUUGAUACCAAAUUUUGUAGUAUAAAACUCCUAUAUGAAGGGUAUCUCUCUAUCAAAUUUCGUGGAAAAAUACCUUCGGAAAGGUGGUUAACCAAUCAACCAAAUUUGGAAAAAUUCUCAAGGUAAUCUGUCCUUAAUCCUUUUCUUCCCAAAUCCAAACGUUUGGCUAAGAAAAUCCUCCAAUCAUGGUUCAUAUGUGAAAAGAAAGUUUAAGAAACAUUCAUGGUACAUUUGGUAGGUGUUUAGCAUCAAGAAAUUCGUUUAGUAAGACCACCACAAAUGUCACGUCAAAUCUGUCCAAAUCCAAGGCUUUCAAGAACAAAACAGUCACCGUAUUUUGAUCAUAACUCACUCAAUUUAACUCGGAUUUGAGCAUGGUUGAUAGUGUUAGAAAAUACAUUCAUAGGGCUAUAAUUUUACAGAAGAAAUCAUUUUAAGUUUCAGCAUGCAACUAGCUCGAAAUUAAGCCCAAAGUUGCAGCAUCAUCAAAUCAUUUCGGCAGAACGGCGAAACAGGGCAGCUGAAUUCAGAUGAGUGGUGCGGUUCACACACAUGGAACCAGAACAUGCAUUAUAUACCGUUGGAAAGAUAAGAAUGUCUAGUUUCAAAUGCCGCUAACAGCACUUGAUUUCGACUUCGGAGUACGGAGUUAUGGACGAAAUACGAACACUGAUCUGGAUUACGACGAAACCGUUUUCCAGAUUACUAGCUUUGGAAAUAAAUUCGUUUAACCAACCAAAACUCAGUAUUUUUCAAUGAAAAUUUUUACACAACUACUAAAACAUAUAAACAACACAAUCAAGACAUUAAAUCUUCAAAUUUCUGCAUUAAAGUGACCGAACAGAGCAGGGGUAAAAUGGGAACUUUUUGCUUCAAGAGCUCAAUACAGUUUCUGGCGAUAAUGCACCUCUAAGCUACUUCCUUAAGCACUAAUUCAACAAUAAAACCAUCUUCAAACAUCAUCACAGCCAUCAACUCAAAGUGGGAGUUCAUAGAGCCCACAUUUAACAAUUUCCAACAAUAAUAAGCUACCCAUAAGCAUAAUCAAGCUCUUAAGUGUAAGUUAGCCUUCAUUGAACUAGAUUUGAAGAGUGGAUCAUGGUUACCUUACUUGUGUGCUAAAAGGUCAGAUUCUGGUGUCCAAAAGUCCCAAGAAAAACCGUGAGUGUGCAGCUCCUUCUUUGUCCAAGUGAUUGUCCAAGUGAUGAGCUAAACGUAUGUGAAGUUUUGGUUGAAUCUAUGGAGGUUUGGUAGUGAUUUUUGUGAGCUUUGCAGAAGGAAUGGUGAAGAGCUGCGGCUGCAAGCUAUCCGUCCA
rnacentral:lncRNA from 1 species